rnacentral:rRNA from 1 species
UACGUAGGGCGCAAGCGUUAUCCGGAAUUAUUGGGCGUAAAGAGCUCGUAGGCGGUUUGUCGCGUCUGCUGUGAAAUCCCGAGGCUCAACCUCGGGCCUGCAGUGGGUACGGGCAGACUGGAGUGCGGUAGGGGAGAAUGGAAUUCCUGGUGUAGCGGUGGAAUGCGCAGAUAUCAGGAGGACCCCCGAUGGCGAAGCAGUUCUCUGGGCCGUAACUGACGCUGAGGAGCGAAAGCGUGGGGAGCGAACAGG